ACCCCUCUGAAAAGAUAUCGGAGGGGCCUAAAGACAAGCUCAUCCAGGUCGGAAAUCUGGAGUAGAGUGUAAGGGCAAAAGCUUGUCUAACUGUUUUUUAAAUAGCACAAAAAGCAGAAUUGAAAGAUGGGCCUAGCGAACCCUUAAAGUCCUUUAAUGAGACUUAAGGAUGACAGAAAAGGUACCCCAAGGAUAACUGGGUUGUCUCUCCCGAUAGUUCAUAUUGACGGGGAGGCUUGCUACACCGCUGUCGGCUCUUCCUAUCCUGGUCGUGCACAAGCGACCAAGGGUGCUGGAGUUCACAUAUUAAAAGGAAUCGUUAGCUGGGUUAAGAUCGUCGUGAGACAGAUUGUAUGAUAUCUAUUUGGUGUGUUGUUGUUUGAGUGGAAGGAUUCAGUAGUACGAGAGGAACCUGAAUCCGAUGCCUCUGGUGUAACAGUUGUCAUGUGGCAUGCUGUGCAGCUACGCAUUAUACGGAUAAGCGCUGAAAGCAUCUAAGCACGAAGCCGUCCGCAAAACGAAACAACUAAGGCCGCUACAAAAGAUAGCGUUGAUAGAGUUGAAAUGUAAGUUUUAAGGCAACGAGAAAUUCAGUUUGCAACUACUAAAAGCCUCAAUUUAAUUUU
rnacentral:rRNA from 1 species